CUACCAAUUCCUAGGUGAUGCUCCAAUGCUGCUGGUUCCCAACCACCGUUUGAGAACCGCUGGCAUAGAACAUGAGCUGGCGAAACUGGAGCACUGAAUACUGCCAGGUAGCAAUGUGGCUUCCAAUGAUCAAAUCUACAUGUUUGAAAGAAAAAUCAUAUAUUUGGACUUCUUUGUGCUAUAACCGGUUACCUAGAAGAGUCCAAAUGAAACAUGGCGGCAACGAGUGACUCCAAGUAGAAUGUUCAGGAAGGAGAACAACAAGGGAAGAAGUGGCCUGGGUCUGUGCAGAUGAUGCCAAUGACAGGGAAAGAGUCAGCAAACUAGGAGGUGAGAAACUAGGGAAGAGACUCAAUUUGAGGAACACAGCUCAUCUUCACAAGCCUGGGAUCCAGAGGGGGCCAGGAGAAAUCAAGCCUUGGAGAAGUUAUGGAAAUUGGGGAGAAGUCUGGAUUUUCUCCAUUGCUGAAUCGGAAGGGUGAGGCACUUUUAUCCAGACCUCAAGCCCAGGGUCGGUCUCCACUGACAGGCUGAUGCUGCCUGGAAGGCUCCAGCUUGGCCAUGUUCAUUGCAGCUACAUUUUGUAACUGCUGUGAUUCCGGAGAACAGGUUGGAGUAGAGAAAAGGGCAUCCCGUGAACUGGGAAUAGACAGACUAGUCUCUAACCUAAGCUCUGCCAGGGCCGCCAGCUUUGACCUUGACCAAGCACUUGGCUCUCAUGAUCCUCUCUGCUCUAGAAUUCUACGUUCCUAAAUCAGGACUUCUGCCCUUGUUUGACUCGUCCGAGAGAGAAAUAUCAUUAGAAACCAAGUGAAGCAGAAGGCAGUCAGUGGGCUUCUCAAUCACCUGUGUUAUUGAAUCUCAACCUGUACAGCAUUUCCCUCCAGAGACAUGGGGCCCCCUUAGCCUCAGGGAUCACCAAGUGGCAAACACAGGCCCCGCCUGCCCACCCCAGAGGGCUGACAGAGCUCCAGGUUCUCCCCAGGUUGCCCCAGCAUGCAGUCCUCUGCAGCACGAGGCAGCUGCCCAGCCGGCGGUGCAGGAAAAUGCCCAGCAGCCCUCUGUGAGGCCCCGGGUAGCCCCGUAAGCACUGCGCCUGGUGAAAUGGUCUUCUCCGACUUUUAUCCAUCUGUCCAGGGCCCCCUGAGGCCAGCGAUGUUUAAACAGCAGUGGAGGUUGAACCUGCUCACCAGGCCAGCUCACUCAUCUAACUCCGCUCCCCUGCCCCCAGGACCACAGCCUUCUUCAGUCAUGGCCGAACUGCCACGUGAGCAAGAGGUGAAAGGCAAGGUGUGCAAAUAUUUGGCUUCAUCCACGAUCAAAUAAAUCAUUUUUCCUUUCCCUGAGCUCUAGGAAAACCCAGCAAAGCUCCUGGACCUGCCCAGGAGUGAAGACUUAUACACAUAAAACACACCCUGCUUGAAGGAAACUCCAGGCUGUAGAAAGAGUCCAUUUUUCCACACACACAAAUUACAACUGGGAUCUCAACACCUUCCUUUUCCAGAUAUACACCUUCACAAAGCAUGUCAGCCUGUGCAGAGGAAUAGAUGAAGUGAUGCAGGGAAAUAAAAUACCUUUAUAUGAUGA
ensembl:lncRNA